rnacentral:rRNA from 1 species
UACGUAGGGGGCGAGCGUUGUCCGGAGUUACUGGGCGUAAAGCGCACGCAGGCGGUCUGCUAAGUUUGGAGUGACAGUUGGUGGCUCAACCACCAAAGUGCUUUGAAAACUGAUAGACUUGAGGGCUUCAGAGGGACACGGAAUUCCGGGUGGAGUGGUGAAAUGCGUAGAGAUCCGGAGGAACACCAAAGGCGAAGGCAGUGUCCUGGGGAGUACCUGACGCUCAGGUGCGAAAGCGUGGGUAGCAAACGGG